rnacentral:rRNA from 1 species
GAUGAACGCUGGCGGCGUGCCUAAUACAUGCAAGUCGAGCGAACCACUUCGGUGGUGAGCGGCGAACGGGUGAGUAACACGUAGGUGAUCUGCCCAUCAGACGGGGACAACGAUUGGAAACGAUCGCUAAUACCGGAUAGGACGAAAGUUUAAAGGUGCUUCUGGCACCGCUGAUGGAUGAGCCUGCGGCGCAUUAGCUAGUUGGUAGGGUAAAGGCCUACCAAGGCGACGAUGCGUAGCCGACCUGAGAGGGUGAACGGCCACACUGGGACUGAGACACGGCCCAGACUCCUACGGGAGGCAGCAGUAGGGAAUAUUGGACAAUGGGCGCAAGCCUGAUCCAGCCAUGCCGCGUGAGUGAAGAAGGCCCUCGGGUUGUAAAGCUCUUUUGUCCGGAAAGAAAAGCACUGGGUUAAUACCCCGGUGUCCUGACGGUACCGGAAGAAUAAGCACCGGCUAACUUCGUGCCAGCAGCCGCGGUAAGGCGUAUGUGU